CCCUACGGGGUGGAAGAUUCAAGGAAGGGACGGACCCGCUUCUCGAGCGGUUCAGCGCAUCCAUUGAUUUCGAUCGCAAGCUCUACCGGCAGGAUAUCGAGGGAAGCCGUGCGCACGCCGAUAUGCUCGAAAAGAUCGGCAUCCUGACGUUGGCCGAAAAAAAGGCGAUCAUGAAAGGUCUCAACACAAUACAAAAAGAGAUUGAAUCGGGGAAUUUCACCUUUUCCGCCAAGCUCGAAGAUAUCCACAUGCAUAUUGAGUCCCGGCUUAUCGAAUUGGCGGGGGGGC
rnacentral:rRNA from 1 species